AUUGAACGCUGGCGGCAUGCUUUACACAUGCAAGUCGAACGGUAACAGGCCGCAAGGUGCUGACGAGUGGCGAACGGGUGAGUAAUGCAUCGGAACGUGCCCAGCCGUGGGGGAUAACUAUCCGAAAGGAUAGCUAAUACCGCAUACGAUCUGCGGAUGAAAGCGGGGGACCGUCGGGCCUCGCGCGAUUGGAGCGGCCGAUGUCAGAUUAGGUAGUUGGUGGGGUAAAGGCUCACCAAGCCAACGGUCUGUAGCUGGUCUGAGAGGACGACCAGCCACACUGGGACUGAGACACGGCCCAGACUCCUACGGGAGGCAGCAGUGGGGAAUUUUGGACAAUGGGCGCAAGCCUGAUCCAGCAAUGCCGCGUGCAGGAAGAAGGCCUUCGGGUUGUAAACUGCUUUUGUACGGAACGAAACGGCUCUGGUUAAUACCUGGGGCUAAUGACGGUACCGUAAGAAUAAGCACCGGCUAACUACGUGCCAGCCGCCGCCGUAA
rnacentral:rRNA from 1 species